rnacentral:lncRNA from 1 species
GGGGCACCCAGAAAUGGUGUCCUGUUAUGAGAUACGUGGUGCGUUCUGAGCAAAGGGGUCACGUUUGGAUGAGGGCUGUGUGAUGCGCGCUGUGCGCGGCGUGGGAAUGGCACGGUGAUCCCCAGGGGGGGCUUCGCUUGAGGGGUGCAGGGGUUUGCAGCACAGAGCGUGGAGGAGAUGCUGAGGUGGCAGUGGUGGUGGGCAGGAAUUGGGGGUAUUCGGGGUGCAGGGGUUUGCAGCAAAGCACAGAGCAUGGAGGUGGUGCUGAGGUGGCAGUGGUGGUGGGCAGGAAUUGGGGGUGUUCGGGGUGCAGGGAUUUGCAGCAAAGCACAGUGCAUGGAGGUGAUGCUGAGAUGGCAGUGGUGGUGGGGCAGGAAUUGGGGGAUCACUCAGAGUGCAGGGAUUAGCAGCACAUUGCAUGGAGGUGAUGCUGGGGUGACAGCAGUGGUGGGGCAGGAAUGGGGGGUCACUCAGUGCAGGGGUUUGCAGCAAAGCACAUUGCAUGGAGGUGAUGCUGAGAUGGCAGUGGUGGUGGGCAGGAAGGGGGGACAUAGUGCAGGGGUUUGCAGCACAGAGCGUGGAGGAGAUGCUGAUAUGGCAGUGAUGGGGGCAGAAAUGGAGUGGAUCACUCAGAGUGCAGGGAUUUGCAGCACAUUGCAUGGAAGUGAUGCUGAGGUGGCAGUGAUGUUGGGGUAGGAAUUGGGGAUGCUCAGAGUGCAGGGGUUUGCAGCACAGAGCAUGGAGGUGAUGCUGAAAAGCCAUGGAUGGGGCGCAGAGAUGGGUGACAGCCAUCGGCAUCCGCGCCCUUCCUUUGCUGAGCCGCACAGAGAUCACCUUGCCACCGAAUCCAGCGCACGGUUCUCAUCUUUUUCUGCCCCUCAGACCCCAUCAGACCCCAUCAGCCGAGCUGGAAGGGGAGCUGGCAGUCUGCCCGUCCCGUCCCGGCAGUGCUGCCGGGCAGAAAGCAGAAACAAAAAAGGAGGAUGGUGCCACCUCCCGGCACCCGCUCGGCUCUCCCCACCCCGCAGCGCACCGCGGACCGGCGGGGGACCCGCGCGGCCGUGGGCUGAACUCCACGGGGCAGGUGGGGAAACUGAGGCACGGGGCACCUCCUGCCGCCGAGCCCGAGGGCACGGCCUGCCCUUUACAUCCCCUCUCACCUCCCCGUCGGGCUGCGGAUCGCUCGGCUCCUUCGUCCCAUCCCACCUCUGCAGGGCUGUGGGGCGCAGGGGUGGCCGAACCCCGUCUCCCAUCUCCAUCCGUGGGGUGCAUUUGGGCACUGUGGUAGGGAUUCGUGGUUCAGCAGCUGAACUGCAAACAACAGAAAGGCCACGGGGGGAGAUUUCAGGCUCUUUAGUUCUGGCUGUCACUAAAGCAUCACCUUUUGGCCCAAAACUGCAGCGCCGGUCAGCACGCAGAAGCGAAGCCCACUUUGGUGCCAUGCUCAGGUUGUGCCCUUCGUUCCGACUUCCCCAAUUCUGGGCUCUUUGCGAAUGAAAACUGCCCUACAACCAUCAAAACGUGCCCUCCCAGUGCUUCAAACGAGUGAGAAUCCAUCCCUAUAGGCCUAUGGAUGGCCGGGGGUGCACGAGGGCUUGGAGAUGGGAGGAAACACAGAAGUAAAAAGGGGUUCCCCCUUUAGCCAACACUCUCCCUGCAGGAUUCCCAUCCCAAUCGCAUCAGGACUGCCUUUCACCCUGCCCCACUUCCCCGAUAACCAUCGCAGCUUUCCUUCCUUAAUUGCUUUCUGCCGUUCUCGCAGAUCACCCCCGAGAACCCGGACACGCUCCUCCUCAUUCAAUGGGCGAUCAGUCGCCAAUCAGCCCCAACGAUCCGGCUGCGAUAAGGUCCCGGUUUGAUGUUAAUCAGCCCUAAUGCACAGCUGGGGCGGAGCUCUGCAUGCUUCGUUCACACGCAGCAGCUCACUGCUUUCCCUUCAACCCUCUGCUGCAGUGCUUUCCCCUUGCAGGGAUUUCCAAUUGGGGAGAAAACGGUUUAUGCCAUGCAUUCAGGGCAAUGAGCUGAGCACCAAACUGCAGGACCCCAUACCCACCCCACCCAACACAACCUGAGCACCCACAGUGCACGACCCCAUACCCACCCCACCCAACACAACCUGAGCACCCACACUGCACGACCCCAUAUCCACCCACUCAACACAACCUGAGCACCCACACUGCACGACCCCAUAUCCACCCCAUCCAACACAACCUGAGCACCCACACUCCAUGACCCCAUAUCCACCCCACCCUGCAGAACCUGAGCACCCACACAGCAGGACCCCAUACCCACCCCACCCAACACAACCUGAGCACCCACAGUGCACAACCCCAUAUCCACCCACCC